rnacentral:rRNA from 1 species
GGAGCCUGAGAAACGGCUACCACAUCUAAGGAAGGCAGCAGGCGCGCAAAUUACCCAAUCCUAAUACAGGGAGGUAGUGACAAGAAAUAACAAUACAGGACUUUUUGGUUUUGUAAUUGGAAUGAGUUAAGUAUAAACCCCUUUACAAGUAUCAAUUGGAGGGCAAGUCUGGUGCCAGCAGCCGCGGUAAUUCCAGCUCCAAUAGCGUAUAUUAAAGUUGUUGCAGUUAAAAAGCUCGUAGUUGGAU